rnacentral:lncRNA from 1 species
CUCCCGUCCUGUGCACAAGCAACGGGAGGCACAUCAGUGAUCCCACAGGAGCAAGGCUGUGGCUGCUGUAGAGGAGGUUGCUCUCUGCAGAGGCAGGCUUGGGUUUUUCUUCAUGGGAAAGGGGUGAGUUUGGGCAUCAGACAACCCUCCCUCCAAGCCCUAAAUUAAUCCCUUCAAAGCUUGUGACCUCAAAUAAGUUAAUUUUCUUAUCUAUAAAGUAAAAAUAGUAGCUAGGAGUGGUGGCACCUGCCUGCAAUCCCAGCGGCUGGGGAGGCUGAAGUAGGAGGAUCAUGAGUUCAAAGCCAGCCUCAUCAACUUAGAGAGGCCCGAAGCAACUCAUCAAGAUCCUGUCUCUAAAUAAAGGGGCUGGGAAGGCGGCUCAGUGGUUAAGCAUAGCUGGGUUCAAUCCUCAGUACCAAAAAAAAAAAAAAAAGUAAAAAUAGUAGUGUUUGUGCUUUAAGGGUUUGUGAGAAAUAAAUGAGGUGCUGUGUGCAAGCCCAGCGCCUGGCAUAUACUAACUGCUCAAUAAAUGUCAGUCUUUUCGUUCUUGGCUACGAUUUCAGAAGUGCAGGGAAGGUCCCUCAUAGAUUUCUCUGUCUGCUAGGUGACACCUGGAAUUCCUUCAGAAGAGGGAAACCCCUUCAUUACCCAGCCAGUGAAGGGCUCCAGUGUAAACAGCCUGGGAUGCGAAACAGAGUGGCUGCAGCACACCUCACCAUGUAAUUUGCUGAUGCCAGGGCUUCCGCUCUGGGAGGAUUCGGUAAGAAUAACCCUGUGCCCUGAGCACUUCUGAAAGCGCUGCCCCACCUCUGACCUCAUUUCAUCUCCCCAGCGCCUCUUUGGGGAGAGCAGGGCUCCAGGUUGGCCUCAUUUCACUAAGGAGGGGCUUGUGUUGAGCAGGAAGUAAGUAAGCAGCCAGGUGAGCCAGCUGCCAGCCAGCCCAGAGCGCUGGGCCAAUGCACAGAACAGGAGGGGGACGUCAUUCUAGAAGGGAACGUGGGAAACCCAAAUGAAGAGAAGCUCAGCGCCUCCAGGGGAGGAGGAGCAAGGUGUUGUCCACCCACUGUGUGGGUUUUCAUCACUCUAGGCCUCAGUUUCUUUUUUACAUUUUUUUUUUUAUAAAAUGGCUGUAAUAGUGCCCAUUUUAUAGGGCUCCUAUAAGGAGAAAGAGGAUAAAAAAAAAUAAAGCAGGCCGGGCACGUUGGCGCAGGCGGCUCAGGAGGAUGAGGCAGGAGGAUCACAAAUUCGAGGCCAGCCUCAGCAAUUUAGUGAGAAC